rnacentral:rRNA from 1 species
GGUCACCUACGGGGCGCAGCAGUGAGGAAUAUUGGUCAAUGGCCGGAAGGCUGAACCAGCCAAGCCGCGUGAAGGACGAAGGUGCCAAGCAUUGUAAACUUCUUUUGUCAAGGGACAAAAUCAGGCUCGAGAGCCUGACCGAGGGCACUUGAAGAAAAAGCAUCGGCUAACUCCGUGCCAGCAGCCGCGGCAAUACGGAGGAUGCGAGCGUUAUCCGCAUUUAUUGGGUUUAA